UACGUAGGCAGCAAGCGUUGUUCGGAGUUACUGGGCGUAAAGGGUGCGUAGGCGGCUUGGUAAGUGUGGUGUGAAAUCUCCCGGCUCAACUGGGAGGGUGCGCUACAAACUGCCGGGCUAGAGUGCGGCAGAGGGGGAUGGAAGUUCCGCGUGUAGCAGUGAAAUGCGUAGAUAUGCGGAGGAACACCGAUGGCGAAGGCAAUCCCCUGGGCCUGCACU
rnacentral:rRNA from 1 species